GGUGGUUCAAAUCCACCUCCAGACA
rnacentral:tRNA from 1 species